rnacentral:rRNA from 1 species
CUACGGGAUGCACCAGUGGGGAAUAUUGGACAAUGGGGGAAACCCUGAUCCAGCAACGCCGCGUGAACGAAGAAGUCCUUCGGGAUGUAAAGUUCUUUUAAAUGGGAAGAAGGAAGUGACGGUACCAUAGGAAUAAGCCCCGGCUAACUACGUGCCAGCAGCCGCGGUAAGACGUAGGGGGCAAGCGUUACCCGGAAUCACUGGGCGUAAAGGGAGCGUAGGCGGCCUUGAAGGUUGUAUGUUAAAGACGACGGCUUAACCGGAGAAAUGCAUACAAAACCGCGAGGCUUGAGGAUAUCAGAGGAAAAGGGAAUUACCAUUGUAGGGGUGAAAUCCGUAGAGAGUGGUAAGAAUGCCGGUGGCGAAGGCGCUUUUCCGGGGUAUACCUGACGCUGAGGCUCGAAAGCUAGGGGAGCGAACCGGAUUAGAUACCCGUGUAGUC